AGAGUUUGAUCCUGGCUCAGAUUGAACGCUGGCGGCAUGCCUUACACAUGCAAGUCGAACGGUAACAGGUCUUCGGAUGCUGACGAGUGGCGACCGGGUGANNNNNNNNNNNNNNNNNNNNNNNNNNNNNNNNNNNNNNNNNNNNNNNNNNNNGGCUAAUACCGCAUGAUCUCUCAGGAGCAAAGCGGGGGACUUUCGAGCCUCGUGCUGUAAGAUGAGCCUACGUCGGAUUAGCUAGUUGGUAGGGUAAAGGCCUACCAAGGCAACGAUCCGUAGCUGGUCUGAGAGGCCGACCAGCCACACUGGGACUGAGACACGGCCCAGACUCCUACGGGAGGCAGCAGUGGGGAAUCUUGGACAAUGGGCGCAAGCCUGAUCCAGCAAUGCCGCGUGUGUGAAGAAGGCCUGCGGGUUGUAAAGCACUUUCGUGGGGGAGGAAGGCAUUAGCUUUAAUAAAGCUGAUGAUUGACGUUACCCCAAGAAGAAGCACCGGCUAACUCUGUGCCAGCAGCCGCGGUAAUACAGAGGGUGCAAGCGUUAAUCGGAAUUACUGGGCGUAAAGGGUGUGUAGGUGGCAAGGUAAGUUAGGUGUGAAAUCCUCGGGCUUAACCUGAGAAUUGCGCUUAAUACUGCUUUGCUAGAGUACUAUAGAGGGCGGUGGAAUUUCCAGUGUAGCGGUGAAAUGCGUAGAUAUUGGAAGGAACACCAGUGGCGAAGGCGACUGCCUGGAUAGAUACUGACACUGAGACACGAAAGCGUGGGUAGCAAACAGGAUUAGAUACCCUGGUAGUCCACGCUGUAAACGAUGAGAACUUGCUGUUGGGUGCAUGAAAGCACUUAGUGGCGCAGCUAACGCAUUAAGUACUCCGCCUGGGGAGUACGGUCGCAAGGUUGAAACUCAAAGGAAUUGACGGGGGCCCGCACAAGCGGUGGAGCAUGUGGUUUAAUUCGAAGCAACGCGAAGAACCUUACCAGGGCUUGACAUCCCUCGAAACCUGGAAAGCAGGGGGUGCCUUCGGGAGCCCGGAGACAGGUGCUGCAUGGUUGUCGUCAGCUCGUGCCGUGAGGUGUUAGGUUAAGUCCUGCAACGAGCGCAACCCUUACCUUUAGUUGCCAGCAUGUAAUGAUGGGGACUCUAAAGGAACUGCCUACGCAAGUAGUGAGGAAGGUGGGGAUGACGUCAAAUCAGCACGGCCCUUAUGUCCAGGGCGACACACGUGCUACAAUGGCCGAUACAAAGGGCAGCUACCAGGUGACUGGAUGCGAAUCUUAAAAGCCGAUCUCAGUUCGGAUCGAGGUCUGAAACUCGACCUCGUGAAGUUGGAUUUGCUAGUAAUCGUGAAUCAGCCAUGUCACGGUGAAUACGUUCCCGGGUCUUGUACACACCGCCCGUCAAGCCAUGGAAGUUGGGGGUGCCUAAAGUUCGUGACCGCAAGGAGCGACCUAGGGUAAAACCAAUGACUGGGGCUAAGUCGUAACAAGGUAACC
rnacentral:rRNA from 1 species